rnacentral:rRNA from 1 species
UGAGGAAUUUUCGUCAAUGGCCGAAAGGCUGAACGAGCAACGCCGCGUGCAGGAAGAAGGUUUUCGGAUCGUAAACUGCUUUUCUGUGGGAAGAGAACGGACGGUACCACAGGAAGAAGCCCCGGCUAACUACGUGCCAGCAGCCGCGGUAAUACGUAGGGGGCGAGCGUUGUCCGGAGUUACUGGGCGUAAAGGGCGUGCAGGCGGUGUGGUAAGUUUAGAGUGACAGUAUCCGGCUUAACUGGAUAAGGCCUCUGAAAACUGCCAGACUUGAGGGCCAGAGAGGGACAUAGAAUUCCGGGUGGAGUGGUGAAAUGCGUAGAUAUCCGGAGGAAUACCAAAGGCGAAGGCAGUGUCCUGGCUGGCAACUGACGCUGAGGCGCGAAAGCUAGGGGAGCGAACAGGAUUAGAUACCCCGGUAGUCC